UACCACUGUCCCACCUUGGGCUGUGAUCUUGUUAGCUCUUGCAGAUAAACAUGUUUAGGCUUGGUCAGUACUUGGAUGGCAAACCAGUAGAGAAAACCCAUGUGCUGUGGAAC
rnacentral:rRNA from 1 species